rnacentral:rRNA from 1 species
CGCAAGAGAGCCGGAACACAGGUGCUGCAUGGCUGUCGUCAGCUCGUGUCGUGAGUAUGUUGGGUUAAGUCCCGCAACGAGCGCAACCCUUGUCAUUAGUUGCCAUCAUUUGGUUGGGCACUCUAAUGAGACUGACCGGUGACAAACCGGAGGAAGGUGGGGAUGACGUCAAGUCCUCGUGGCCCUUAUGGUAGGGCUUCACACGUCAUACAAUGGUCGGUACAGAGGGUUGCAACCCGCAGGGGGAGCUAAUCCCACAAAGCCGAUCGUAGUCCGGAUCGCAGUCUGCAACUCGACUGCGUGAAGUCGGAAUCGCUAGUAAUCGUGGAUCAGCAUGUCACGGUGAAUACGUUCCCGGGUCUU